rnacentral:lncRNA from 1 species
AUGCAGCGCAAAAAUGACAAUCGCAGGACCUCGGGUCAUGAGCUGCGGCCAAAGGUGGGUGAACCCUCCCUGGACCCGUCAAGACUUUCCCAGGUCUCGGCAGACUGGACCCGCGAGACUACCGGAGACGUGUGGGAGGAUGAGGGUGGGCAGCUCAUUAUUACACCUGUCGGUCGCUCACGACCUCCGGGCAGAUGGCUGAAAUCAAAGUCCGACACCAUUCACACGGUGUCGCAGUUGACUAAUGGGCACGAUGAUAACAAGGACUCUUGCCACCCUCAGGGAGACACUGUAGAUGGGGCAGAAAUGUUCACAUCACAUGAGCCGGAUGUGGACGACAAGAGCGUCCUGACAGCCAAAUUCACAUACACCAAGAACCUGUACGCUACGGAAGCCGCGGCCGCUGAACUGGCCCAGGAGAUAGCCGAGGAGAGGAACGAAGCUCUGCGUAAAGAAAACGUUGGUCUGAAGAACCGGAUGAGAAGCCUGACGAGCUCCGUGGAAGACAUGGAUACCCUGGAGGACAUGGUCCUGGAGAUGCGCAAAUCCCUGGAGGAGAGCAACAGCACCACUGCACGGCUGGAGACUCGACGUCUGCAGCUCCAACAGCAGAAUGACGCCUUCAGGGAUACGAUUGAAAGUCUGAAUGGUGAGCUGUCCACCCUUAUGCACGAGAGAGCAGAGGAUAGGGUAAAGUUGCGGGAUCUGAACCGCUGCAUCGGCCUGAUGCAGUUCCAGGUCGAUGACGGCCGAAUCACUUUUCUUCACAGGGAGGAGUUGAUCCAGAUGAAAACUUCCCUUAUUGAGGAGAUGCAAAGCUCCUUGGCCGAAAGCACAUCCCGCGUCCUGGAGUUUCAGGAAAGGGUGCAGGAUUUGGAGGAGCAAAUCGCAGAAGCCAGGAACGCUGGCAAAGAACAUGAGAUGACAGAUAACAGUUCCAUUGCGCGCGGGAAAAUGGCCCAUUCCUUCGCUGAGGAACUUGCUCAAUGUAACCUGAACUCUGUUGAUGAAGAGAUAAGUGAGGAGAAAGUGGAGGUUUCAACCACUCCGACCCAGAGCUGGGUGAUGAGAAGGCUGCCCGGGGGGCUACAGAAGGUGGUCUACCAGGCAGGGAUGUUCGCCCUGGGUGGCAUGGUUUCAUUAUGCGUAAUGGCCGCCAGUGUGCCCACAUGCCAAAUUGGACAUGGGGUUCCAUGUGGAGACCCGCUUGAAGACGCAGAAAAUGUAUUUUUCAAGUCUUAUGCGACUAUUAAUCACACUGCUCUCCCUCCCGUCUGA